AUCUAUGGGCAUGCCACCUUAAACAUGGCUGGUCCCAUCUGAUCUCAGAAGCUAAGCAGGGUGGAGCCUGGUUAGUACUUGGAUGGAAUACCACCUAGGAAGACCAGGUGCUGUAGGCA
rnacentral:rRNA from 1 species